AAUUACCAUCAAAUCUGCUACCAUAUAUUGCUUCGUAGUUCUUGCAUAAAACAACAAAGACAGUAAUGGACAUCUCUCUCCACAUUGCUUCACCCAACAACAGAGCUCUAAGCUGCACUCCAGCAGCUUAAAACCUGAAAGUGACCAAGGGGGGGAGAACCAAAGGAGCAAAACUAGGCACCAACAACUGCCAGAUUAAAGAAGAAAACUAAAGCUAAUCACUUCGCACAAUCCCUAUGUCAAGCACUACACACCGUACAACUAAAGUGUUCGAUCAGCUAGCAGCAGCUUGCUCAUCUCCCGAAGCUGCGCUCCCUGUUGGCGGCUCCGGCGCCGGCGCCGGCCGGUGCCGCGAGGCCGCCCAGCAGGGUCUUGGCGAUCUGCAGCUUGAGCUGCCCCCUCUUGAGCGGCGGCCUCUUCUCCUUGUUGCCGCCGCAGCCGUUGCAGGGGUACCCGUACUCCAUGGCAAGCUUCUCCGCUUCCUUUCUCACUCGAUGGCCGCUCGCUCUGUGCGUGAGCUUCUGGUAGCUCCCGGUGGCCUGCGCCGCUGGUGGAGAAGGCGAGAGAUGGCUGGCUGGCUUGGGGAUGGAGUGUGCAGGGCAGCGUGCAUUUUUAUAGCCGGAGGCCGGAGAUUUCAGACAUGUUGCAUUGGGAGAUGGAAACGCGCGUUGAUCAUCCAUUUGCUGGGGUCCGGGAAUAAAGUUGCAGGCUUGUUUUGAGCAUGUGGUUGUCUCUGUUGCGAGUGGGGAAGGCGUCACUUGACUUCGCACUAGCAGGCUAGAAGCUCUCGUUCCCUUCCCGACUACUUUUUCCUCGUCUUCUCAUAGUUCUUGGAAGCAUCCAUGAGGAGACAGGCAGGCCAAUGAGCAAAAACACAGGAUUAGGGAGGGAUUAGCCUCAUGUCAAUCAGAGAUUUGGCGAUCUAAUCUCGUGCCAAAUGCCCAUUUGGACCAGGAAAACAUGCAAUUGAGAAUUGACCCUUUCCAGUUUUCCUGUACCCUGUAAAAUAAAAUUAGGUCAUCCGAAAACAUGCAAUUGAGAAAUGUUGCAGAGUUCACCAGAUCUCCAUUUGCUUAUUAGAACAAAAAACAUUGCAUUAUCUAAAAAUGGAUUGCAUACCCUUUACUUGCGCUUUUCAGUAACAGUAUUGUUUUCC
rnacentral:lncRNA from 1 species